rnacentral:rRNA from 1 species
UACGUAGGGGGCAAGCGUUGUCCGGAAUCAUUGGGCGUAAAGCGCGUGUAGGCGGCUCGAUAAGUCCGCUCUGAAAGCCCGGGGCUCAACCCCGGAAUUGCCUUUAAGACUGCAUCGCUAGAAUUGUGGAGAGGUGAGUGGAAUUCCGAGUGUAGAGGUGAAAUUCGUAGAUAUUCGGAAGAACACCAGUGGCGAAGGCGACUCACUGGACACAUAUUGACGCUGAGGUGCGAAAGCGUGGGGAGCGAACAGG